rnacentral:rRNA from 1 species
AUGUUCAAGCUCUGCAACUUGAAGCCAGCUUUGCCAACCACCUUUCCCGUUCCAGAUUUCAGCGACAAAGAUAUGUGUGAGAAGAUCAACUUUGCCAUUGAUAAGAGCCUGUUCUUAUCAACUGAUGCUGAAAAGAAUCAAAUUGACAUGGAGGAAGCAGGGAAGGGUCUUGACUGGGUUCAUUCAAAGCAAAAAUACAAGGAAUAUUUAAAGCAGCUCCCAGACCUAAGCUCCAGCAAGAGCAAGGCAGCAUCCACGGCAAACCCGCACGUGGUCCAGAAGUGUAAAGCAGUUUCAAUGAAGAAGAAUCUGCAGUUGCCUCAAACCAAGGAGAAGAUGGUGAGUGAAGAUGCUGAAGUAAAUAUGGUCAAGGAAGCUGUGCUUCAAACUGAUAUGCCAACAGUAGUGAGCAGAGAGCCAACCAAUGUCAGAGAAGUUCAACAGAUCAAGGGGAAGACUCCCCUUUCAACAGUCCCACCAAAACCACCUAAGCAGAAGAUUGUCAAGUUUGCCAGGGGCGCAAAGGGGGAACAGGCCACAAAAGGGGUGCCAAGUUCUGCCAGGUUGCUGCCAACUCAGACUGGAAAGAUGCCAACUACAGAUACCAGUGUGCCAACUGAUGUGUCAGUUAGCAGUAUGGUCACAGUCAAAACCACCACAGCUGGUCAGGAAGGCACCACUGCAACUGCAAGUCCCAAGGUGCCUACUGAUAGAGAUGCUUCAAUGCCAAACACAAAAGGAGGUGAUCCAACUAUCAAAGUGCCGUCCCCAAGAGUUGUCUUUCAGCAACCAUUAACACAAGAGGAGGUGUUCGACAUUAUAAGUAGGUGCAAGCCUCCAAGGCCGCCAACUACAACACUAUUGUGA